rnacentral:rRNA from 1 species
UACGUAGGGCGCAAGCGUUGUCCGGAAUUAUUGGGCGUAAAGAGCUCGUAGGCGGCUUGUCACGUCGGGUGUGAAAGCCCGGGGCUUAACCCCGGGUCUGCAUUCGAUACGGGCAGGCUAGAGUGUGGUAGGGGAGAUCGGAAUUCCUGGUGUAGCGGUGAAAUGCGCAGAUAUCAGGAGGAACACCGGUGGCGAAGGCGGAUCUCUGGGCCUUUACCUGACGCUGAGGCGCGAAAGCUAGGGGAGCGAACAGG